AUGUGUCCUUUUGAUCACGGGAGUGACCCAGUCGUUGUAGAAGAUGUGAAUUUGCCAGGCAUGCUGCCUUUCCCAGCGCAGCCGCCUGUUGUUGAAGGACCACCUCCUCCUGGGCUGCCCCCACCUCCUCCAAUUCUGACACCCCCACCUGUGAAUCUUAGACCCCCUGUGCCACCUCCAGGUCCAUUACCACCCAGUCUGCCACCUGUCACAGGACCACCUCCUCCACUUCCUCCUUUGCAGCCAUCUGGCAUGGAUGCGCCACCUAACUCUGCGACCAGCUCUGUUCCUACUGUGGUGACAACCGGCAUCCACCACCAGCCUCCUCCUGCUCCACCCUCUCUCUUUACUGCAGAUACAUAUGAUACAGAUGGCUACAAUCCUGAAGCUCCAAGCAUCACAAACACUUCCAG
rnacentral:lncRNA from 1 species